UACGGGGGGGCAAGCGUUGUUCGGAAUUACUGGGCGUAAAGGGCUCGUAGGUGGCCAACUAAGUCGGACGUGAAAUCCCUCGGCUUAACCGGGGAACUGCGUCCGAUACUGGAUGGCUUGAGUUUGGGAGAGGGAUGCGGAAUUCCAGGUGUAGCGGUGAAAUGCGUAGAUAUCUGGAGGAACACCGGUGGCGAAGGCGGCAUCCUGGACCAACACGUGACACUGAGGAGCGAAAGCCAGGGGAGCAA
rnacentral:rRNA from 1 species